GUCCUUAUACGAUGAUGUCAAGUCUAUUAACUUGCCUCUUAGAUUUGGACUUUUUAACUCUCUUUGGCAAUUCAGGUUUCAAUGCAUACAUCUUCACAAAAGAAAUCCUUUUUGUUCCUGAGACAAAUGUAUUUUAUACUAAUAUUAGUUAUUAAUAAAUGAAAGAUUUAUUACAUGCACUUGAGGUUUUGUGUAUGAAUAUAUUUAAUGGUAUUUGCAUACUUAAGAAACAAGAAACAUGUACAAUGUACUUUUAGAUUGAUCGAACUAGUUUUGAUUAUCAAACCCAAAUACAGUAAUCCAAAGAUAUAAUCAUAUUUAUUAUAUAUUAUAAAG
rnacentral:lncRNA from 1 species